ensembl:lncRNA
CACCCCGACAUUUCUGAGUGGUUUCCCCCACUACUCUGAGUUGAUUCCGUGUAUGACCCUGGACUGUUUGACUUCUCUGAUUCUCUGCUGCCUUCCCUUGUGAUCUCGGCUUCUGGAACACUGAUUGUUUGCUUGUUGCCCUGACUCCUGCCUGGUAUCGUUUCUGCCUCUAGCUUGCCUCUGACAUUCCUACUGUUGUUGUUUGACCAUUGCCUGUUGUUGACCUUGCUUUAUAAUAAAGUGCUGCAAAUGGAUCCACAAACAUGCUUCUGACCGAUUAUUACAGAAGACUUUGCCACCCCCAGAUCCAGUGGUGGUCUAUCAACUAUCCUCUGAGGUCUCAGCCCAAGCUAAUGUGUUAGCAUCUCACCAGCAGCAACUGCAACGCCUUACGUCUCUCAUGGAGGAACUGGUGGGAAUGUUGCAAUCCAUGCAACUGGUCAUGCCGUCACCAAGCCCACCAACGCCUGAGCCUCCACCAACUAAUGGAUCAGCUAGUACGCACACUGCUAACCCUUGACUCUCCUUACCGGCGAGGUUUGACGGAACUCCAGAUAAGUGUAAAGGCUUCCUCUUACAAUGUUCCCUGUUUAUGAAUCAACAACCAUUGUUAUAUCCCACAGACAACAGUCGUGUGGCUUUCAUCUGUUCCUUGCUGACAGGAAGGGUGUUGGAAUGGGCUACGGCUGUUUGGGAGGACAGAAGCCUGUCAUUUCCUUCCUUCAAAGAAUUCCUUCAUCAGUUUUGAGAGGUAUUCAAGCAUUCAGCCUGUGGCAAAGAGGCUAGUGAACAGUUGCUCGUACUGUCAGGGCAGAGAUACCGCAGUGGAUUACUCUCACCUUCUGCAUACUCUCAGCCCAAACUCGCAGUUGGGAUACUGGUCCCCUGAAGCUGCUUUACCGCAAGGGCUUAUCCGCUGAAUUACAGUCAGAACUUACCUGCCGCGAAAAGGGAAAGACACUGGAACAGUUCAUUAAUCUCUCAAUCCCCCUCGACAACCUACUACACGCAUGACGCUCCUCAUGACAGUCACAUGCUCUAUCACCCAUCUCCGCAGCCAUGCCAGACCCUGAACCCAUGCACAUUGGAGUCACUCGUCUUUCGUCGGCGGAAAGAAAGCACAGGAUAAGGAACCAUCUAUGCCUUUACCGAGGGUUGCCAGGUCAUCUAAGAGCCAAUUGCCCUACUAGACCGGCCUCCAAAGAUACCACUACGUGGCAGCGCUAGAUGGACACCCUCUGGGCACAGGACUGAUCAAAUUCAGAACCCAAGAACUCACACUAAAGUCUGGCUCCCUACAAACGGCAGUUCCAACCCCAUGUCAUAAACUUUGUUCCUUCCUCACAUUCGGAAGACUCUACUGUAUCAGAUCUCCCUGUCGAAUACCAAGAUCUCACAGAGGCAUUCAGCAAGUCAAAGGCUUCUCAACUCCCACCACAUCGAUCCAGUGAUUGCGCUAUCGACCUGCUUCCUGGAGCGAUGCCUACGAAAUGUAGAGUGUUUCCCCUAUCACAACCAGAGUCUGAGGCAAUGAAGGCAUACAUAGAGGAAUUGGCUAAGGGCUUCAUUAGACCAUCCACCUCUCCAGCGUCAGCAGGGUUUUUCUUUGUGAAAAAGAAUGGAGGCCUUGCAUUGAUUACCGAAGUCUGAAUGAUGUCACAGUCAAGUUUUGAUAUCCACUGCCACUGGUUCCAUCUGCCCUGGAGCAACUGCGCUCUGCCAAGUAUUUUACCAAGCUCGAUCUCCGCAGUGCCUACAAUCUGAUCCUGGAGACAAUGCCUAGACAACGCCUAGACUGGUCACCAUCAGCUCAGAACGCUUUCCAACAGCUCAAGGAUUGCUUGGAAUGGAGGCAUUGGCUAGAGGGCGCUAAAGUUCCUUUCCUGGUACUCACUGAUCACCGCAACCUGGAGUAUAUUCGCUCGGCCAAACGACUUAACCCAAGGCAAGCCCGAUGGUCACUAUUCUUUUCACACUUUGACUUUAAAGUCACCUACUCUGAGAAGCACCGAAACCGUUAUCACGUCAACUCUGAUUAUAGCACCAGUUCAAGGACAUUAUCACUGAGAUCACUGAAGCUCAGGUCAACAAUCCACCACCGCCGAACUGUCCCAACGACCGAACUUGCGUGUCAGCUGAUCUUCGACAACGGGUGUUGCAUCUGGUACAUGAUUCUCCCAGCUCAGGACACCCCGAGAUCACAACUUCAGUCCAGCUGUUGUCUGAGCGUUUCUGGUGGUCAUCCCUACUGCUGGAUACUAUCAAAUUUGUUCAACAAUGUAACAUGCCCAAUUCCUCUCACCAACAUCCUGCAGGUUUUUCAACCCCUUCCCGUUCCUCAACGCCCAUGGUCUCAUAUCGCAAUUGACUUUGUUACUGAUCUCCCCAACUCCAGAAUUCUUAGUCAUCGACCGAUUCUCCAAAGCCUGUCAACUCAUACCCUUACCCAAACUGCCUACUGCUUUUGAAACCGCCAAAGUCCUGUUGGAACAGGUCUUCUGCUUCUAUGGCCUUCCCGAAGAUAUAGUUUCCAACAGAGGGCCCCCAAUUCGCCUAGAGUCUGUAGAGCUUUCUGCCAGCAACUCAACCUCAGUCUUUCCUCUGGCUACCAUCAACAGUCCCAUGGCCAAGUUGAGAGGCUCUACCAAGAAGUUACCCGGUUCUUAUGCUCAUACUGCCACCAGAAUCAGAAUGACUGGAGUCUGUUCCUGUUACGGGCAGCGUAUGCGCAAAACUCGCUCCGCAAACCAUCUACCGGCCUCACUCCUUUCUAGCAUGUCUGCUGUCAACAAAUGGCUAAGGAGAAGCGAGAACACCUGGAAUGCAGCUCAUGUCCACCUACAAAGAGCAGUGUACUAAACCAGGGAACAAGCCGAUCGUCGGAGAAGGGAGGGGCCUGAAUAUACUUCUGGACAAUAGGUCUGCCAAUCCACCAGGGAUCUGUGACUUUGACUACCCAGCGAAAAAGAAGUCCCAGCCUGCCGGAGAGGAGAGGGAUCAGGACGAGGUCGCAGACAAGAGUACUCCUACCCUAACCGUGGACUGUGAGGAGGCAUACCAGGUCAGAGAGAUUUCUGGAUUCCUGACGCAGAGGACAAGUGCUGCAGUCAACCAGAUACUGGGAAGGAUAUGGCCCAGAGGAAAGGUCCUGGGUGAACGCCCAUGAUAUCCGGGAUCCCACACUCACCCUUGAGUUUCAUCAAGCUCAUCCAACUUGACCCGCCCCUCGUCCCCAUGGAAGCCCACAGCAUUGGUCUGCCCCUCGCAUCCGGAGCCGCUCGCAGGGGUGGGGCUCUGUCAUGAAUCAGACCUCUGUGGCUCUCUCCGAUUGCCACCAGAGGGCACCCUCACCUGAGUAUUAACCUUCAUCCUGGACUCCAUUUCCCAUAACCCUGUACUGGACUGAUUACCUGCACAGGUGUUGCUCAUCACUGGCCUAUUUAACCAGCACUCACACUCACUGCGAAGUCUUGUUUUGCUGACAUUUCUGAGUGUUUCCCCCCCCCACCAUUCUGAGUUGAUUCCGUGUUUGACGCUAGACUGUAUGAUUUCUGAUUCUCUGCUGUCUACCCUUGUGAUCUCGCCUUCUGGAACAUUGAUUGCUUGCUUGUUGCCCUGACUCCUGCCUGGUAUCGUUUCUGCCUCUGUCUUGCCUCUGACAUUCCUGCCGUUGUUGUUUGACCAUUGCCUGUUGUUCACCUUGC